rnacentral:lncRNA from 1 species
ACCGGCUUCAAACUAGAAUACUAAUGUCGAGCCACCCCCUUUAGAGUAAAAGAGAAGGCUCCGUAAAUGAUGGCAUCGAUGGCUUCAUGGAGGAGCAUCACUGCCUUGAAGCUCUCAAGGUGGUCAACAGGGUCGACAGUCCCAUCACAGUUUUUCAACUGCGGAGCCUUGAAGUAUCGAGGAAGUAUCUCCUGCAUAAUCCUCGAAUCAAAAGGUGGGUUAUUGUUGAACCCGUCAUAUGGCACCAAGGGAGUAUUGCGGAUUGCAUCAAUCCGCUAAUCGAUCUCUCAAAGCCAUCGCUCGAGUACAGCAUCUCGAGUGGUGCAGGCCUCGGAGUGCUAGGGAGAUCACCGACCUGGAGUUGAGUCAUGCCGUGAUUGGGUGCUCCGAGAUUACCACCUUCUUGGUUCUGGACUUCUAGGGUGGCUUUGGCAGGUUUGUCUCCUCUGCAGACUUUGCGAAGGGGCCCACAACUAUUCUGGCAAUUGCGACUGUGAAGCUGGAUUUGGUGGCGGUGCUGCUGAUAGAGGUGCGAGAAUGGCCUGAUCAAGCUGCGGCACCACCUGCGAAGAUACAAGAGCAGCCUA